GCUGAUCUAGCCUAGUGGUGAGGGUGAUGCACUUCACCUUCAGUGACCAGGGUUCAAAUCCUGGAUUGGCA